CAGCAGCCACGGUAAUACGGAGGGGGCUAGCGUUGCUCGGAAUGACUGGGCGUAAAGGGCGCGUAGGCGGAUUGCGCAGUCAGAUGUGAAAUUCCUGGGCUUAACCUGGGGGCUGCAUUUGAGACGCGUAGUCUAGAGUGUGAAAGAGGGUCGUGGAAUUCCCAGUGUAGAGGUGAAAUUCGUAGAUAUUGGGAAGAACACCGGUGGCGAAGGCGGCGACCUGGUUCAUAACUGACGCUGAGGCGCGAAAGCGUGGGGAGCAAACAGGAUUAGAUACCCGCGUAGUCCCUGUCUCUUAUAC
rnacentral:rRNA from 1 species